rnacentral:rRNA from 1 species
UACGUAGGGAGCAAGCGUUGUCCGGAUUUACUGGGUGUAAAGGGUGCGUAGGCGGGCUUGCAAGUCAGAAGUGAAAUCUAUGGGCUUAACCCAUAAACUGCUUUUGAAACUGUAAGUCUUGAGUGAAGUAGAGGUAGGCGGAAUUCCCGGUGUAGCGGUGAAAUGCGUAGAGAUCGGGAGGAACACCAGUGGCGAAGGCGGCCUACUGGGCUUUAACUGACGCUGAGGCACGAAAGCGUGGGUAGCAAACA